ACCUCGUGGACCGCUCGCGACCCCUACCCUGCUGCAGGGCCCGCGCGGCACUGGGCCGGGGAGAGAAAGCAAGCAGAUGGCCUUCCGGAAUCGGCUGCCUCUUCCCUUCUAGAAGUGGCCGGGAACAAGGAAGAGCGCCCCUCGAGGGUGGGGGACGCUUUUCAAAGUUUCAGACCCGAUUCAGGCUGCGCGUGGGGUCCAGGGGGUGCGUCAUGGGGAUGGCGAGGGCGAGAACAGAGGCCGCGGGACCCGGAGGAGCUGCUGGGACGUCCGCGGAGGGGCGCCGUGUGUGCACUCCGAGCGCCUUAGCUCGGCAGCUGCUAGCGUGUAAGAUGAAAAUAAAGCCACGGUGUCACUUUACUCCACAACGUAUGGCCUCUCAGAACGCAGCCGAGGGCAGUUCCCGGGUCCACACAUAGGAAGAACGGGCACAACUCGGUUUAAAAUGGCAGCGAAGUAGCUCAAAUGUGGAGCUGAUAAAGGUGGAGGCACAAGUGUGUGCCUAAGCCAUUAAAACUAUGAACUGAAAACCAGAAUAGAAACCCAGGCUGAAGGUGAUAAAGCUGAACAACCCGAGAAGGAAAGAUUAUAACGAAAAAAAAAUAACUUGAAAGACACAUGGAAUAUAAGAGAUUCCACACUGAGCUAUUGGAUUGUCUCCUCUACAUGGAGUUCCAGACGCACCAGGAAGGUACUUCCUUAUGAGACACUGCAGAAACACUGGGCAAAAGCAUUUCACACACACACAGGGACCUGAAGGAGUAGCUACUCAUGAAGAAUUCUUGGUCUGGUCUGUGGGGCACAAACCCAAUUCUUUUCUCCCUGAAAGUUAUGCUUUAGGCAUUGAAAUAAAAGCUUUUAAUUAAAAAAAAAAUGUUUUUUUCUUUAACCUUGGCCAUGGGGAGGAAAGAGAUUAAAAGAAGAAAAUGAGCAUACUAUAAAGAAUUACUUAGAGGAAGACAAAGAAAUGCAGAAAAAUAAAGCUUAGUGAUAUUAAAGUUUAGAGACCAGGAAAAUAUCAUUAGAAGGGCGAUGAAAAGCUAAAUCUGGUGAAGAGAAGACUGUGCUGGGAACAAGUUUUCUUAUUUCCCUACAUUGUCAUGUUAAAGGCGCCAUUUGGAAUGCCUAAAUUAUUCCCACUUGCUCUCCUAACUAUAGAGUGAACAGCUAAAGAAGGACCUUGACUAUAAUAACAUUUAUUUCUCCUUUCCUUGGAGUAGAGUUGUGCUCCAUGGGGUUUUCCAUGGCUGAUUUUUUGGAAGUAGAUCACCAGGCCUUUCUUCGGAGGAUUCUCUGGGCAGAAUCAAAUCUUUUGGUUAACAGCUGAGCAUGUUAACCAUCACCCAGGGACUGUAUGAGAAGACCCUGCAUAAUCCCAGCUCACUUCCCAAAAACCUAAACUGAGCCCAAUACAGUGUAUCUGUGUAGCAUUCAACUUUCAGCAAAGCUCCAACAUUAACUUGUCACUGUGUUGUCGUGUAUUCCUGUAGUCUCUAGUGAGAACAAAUGUAAAUUACUACUUUAUUGCUUUUCAGAUUUUAUCUUCUGUCUUUCCUGUAGCUGACCUUGUAAUUUAAACUGUUCAUGCUCCAAUGAGUGUUCCCAAGAAACUCAGAGAGUUCAUUAUUAGUCCUAGUUAUAGUGCAUAGUCAAGAACCACUCUGUUGCACAGGAGCCUGUCUCUUAAAAAUGCAUUUCAUGUUAUCGAAGGCUUACUAUGUCCUUAGUACCUCCUUAGAUAUUACAGACAUUAAAAAUUCAUAUACUAAGUCACCAUCCCCAAAGGGCUUACAGUUUAGCUGAAGAGUCAAAGUAAGAUAGAACAAAAUAGAGUUAUGUAGCAAGGCAUGUGAUUCAGAGCAUGCAUAUGGGAAGACUUCCAAAGAGAAGAGACAACAGCUAUGACUGCAGACUUUUCAGAAAGAGGUGAUACUUGGUCUAGCCCUUGUCGGAAGAUAAAGUUUUGUCUGAAGAGACAGGAACAUGGAAAAGAAGUCAUAGACGGGGAGCAGCACAACAUAUUUCUGAACCCCUGGACAGUGCUCACAUGAACAGCUUAAGUCCUAUUUGAAGUGAAAAAGAGGAGAAAUAAUUAAUGUAGGCUUGAGGGAUAAAUGAACAUAUGUAAGAAAUAAAUGAAUGAACUAAUGAAUGAAGAAUGAAAUAACCAGAGUGCCCAGCCUGGAUCAUGGCUUUCAGAGCCCCCUAAAUCAAUGCCGAGCUCCCCAUCAUACCCCAGGUGGCCUCAGGAAUGCUGGGAGCCGAUGAAUUCCACUCCCAGUCUGUUGCCUGGGCCAUGGCUUGUGUGCAUCCAAUGUUCCACUGCUGGCUCCUUGCCGGAGGAAGGAUGGUGAAUGAUUCACUUAGACACCACAUGGUCAGUCUCCCAUCCCCAUUAUUCAGGGUAAGCUCCUGGGUGUAUCAGGCAAUAUUUCU